UCCAUUUAAGAAACUGUAUCGGAUAUUACUUCCUUGUUAUUUUGAAAAUUGUAUGUGUGAUCAGAUUAAAUAAAAUUCAGAUUCAUAAUCAGACGCUCAGAUUCGUUUACAUAUAUGUCUGAAACAAAAUGAAAUGAGAAUUUAUUGGAGAUCGUUUAAUGACAAUAUAUAUACACAUAUAUAUUUAAUUUUCAUGACAUUUAAAAAUGGGCGGUCUCCAGUCAUUUCCGGAGUUUCCGAGUAGAACUCUCGUCGAGGGACAAUCAUCAUGGUACCAAGAUUUUGAGAAAUAUCCUAUUGGACGUAUUCUAAAUGACCUUGAUUCUAAAAUCAAAGAAUAGAAUGAUAUAAUUGAUAAUUUAAAGAAAGGACAAAUGAGUAGAGAAAAGAAAAUGUACAUGUUUUCACUGAUGAUUCAAACUUCAGAUUUUCUAAUGAGUAUGGUCCCGCCGGAAUUUUAUACUUCAUUCAUAAAACAAGGAGCAGAUCAUAAUACACAUAUACCAUAUGAGCACCGACACCAACAGGUACCUCGCCACCAGGAAGGUCAUCAGAGUGCACAUGAGGAAGAGAGAAAGAUAAGGCGAGACAAUGCACCACCGCGGCCCCAAACUGCAUCUCCAGGCGGCAGGAAUAAUGAGCUGGAAAAACUAAAGAGAGAAAAUAAGGAACUGCAGACAAGUUUGAAAGACGUUCAACUGGUUGGAGAAGACCUACAAAGGGAGAAAGAACUUCUCCUUAUCAGGUUAAGUAGAUUUGCAGGCGAAAAACUAACAGCAGAGAAUCCAAACAUAGCUGACCUCAGUGAUCCUUGUCGGCCCACCAGGCUCGGGGAACAAUACAGCGAGAUAUAUGACAACGAAUGGACUAACGCGUUUGAAGGCCUUCUCGACUGUGGUUAUACUGAUAGUGAAGCUAUUGAUACACUUAGGGACACGCUCAUGAAUAUUGACACGUUUUGCAAUCAAAAGGCUGACAUGGUUUUGAAAAAGCUGAAGACGCUGUGAAUCUUUUGUUUGAAGAUUACACAAAAUCAUUUAACUUCAAGAUUGGUAUACCUGAAAUAACAAUACGGAGUGGACGGGUUAACUUAAACGAACAAUCAAUAGAUGUGUCAGCUAAAAAGAAGCACAUGUUUUCAGAUGUGCUUAAUAGCGCUACAAUGGGAGCCAUGGGCCUGCAGAAAAGGUGGCUACCAAAAGGUGGCAAUCAACCAGCAUCGCUUUCUGCCAUGCAGACAAAACUUGACGUAAAACCAGUAAAUAUUGAAGAUAAGCUGAAGAAACUGAGAAAAGAAGUUUCAUCUUCGAUGGUUCCAAUCGUACAACGGGCCUACAUCGAGGCUUUUUGGAACAGAGAGUGUAUACCAGUCCUCAAACCAUUCGUGAAAGCCUGCCUGCAUCUUUGUUGGAAAAUGGUCGUCCAGAGUCCGCCUAUGCGCUUUAAACUGGUGGUCACCAAAGGUCAACAUUUUGAUGCCAAUUUAUAUAAGGAGUACAUACUUUCUGGAACUACGAUUGAUUUCGUCGUUUGGCCUGCGCUACUUUUGCAUGAUGGUGGCCCUCUUAUUGCAAAAGGUAUUGCGCAACCUGUUGGGAGGAACAAGAUUGAGUCAUCAGAACGAAACUAGAUAAACUCUCCACUUCAUUCUAGCGAUGUUUUUUUUCCUGUGAGAACGACAAGGUUCACCGAAUAAUGCUUUAACAAAUACAUAGUAUUGAUUGAUGUGAUUAUUCAAACUGUCCGACUGCAUUUCGGAAUCAAAAUCAAAUUAAAUGUAUUCAAUGUUUAUAUGUAGAUUAAGAUGAACAUCUGUGACAAUGUUUUGGCUAUAUCAUAAUGUGGUGUGAUAAUUUGACAAAAUGUUGAGUCAAGCAUUUAAGCAAUGCCGAAAAUAAUGCAUCUCACUAUAGUGAAUACAGUUUUAAGUUUACUUUUAACUUUCAAAAUGUGUGUAUUGGUGCCUUUAAGAAAUACUUUUUCAUUGUUACUAUGUCGCCUCUUCACGCUUCUUAUUGUCCAUUUGAUUGAUAUGUUGUUACGUUUUGUUUUUAUUGCUUACUAGUGAUAUCAUGUUUUAGUCAAAUAUUCUGUCUCUGUUGUUUUGAGAUCUAUAAGAGUCUGUUUGCGCCCAUUGGUUGCCUUAUGAGUUAACCCUGCUGUACGUCAACUUGUUUAUUUUAGGCCCAAAAUGGACACGAGUUUUAAGUGACUGCAAAUACCUGUCACAUUGUAACUGCCAGAAGUUUUAUUUUUAUUUUUAGUAAGUCUUGCUGGUCUAAAAUGUAUCUCUCUGAUAAAUACCGUUCAUUACAUAUUAUGAAAUGCACUUUAUUGGAAUGGCCUUUGUUGAAAUGAAGUAUCUGGUUGGGUUCCCUAUCUAUUGGUAACCCUACGGUAGUUUUAAAGACGUUUUGUGUUACUAAGAGUUGCCUAUUCCUUCCGGUACAGGUUUUCAUACCAUUGAUACUUUUUAUUUGUAUACUUUUUAACUGAAUUUGUUUUAUUUGGCACUAUUGUUAUCACUUGACAUAUUACUGCAUACAUCGGAUGUAAUAUAGAGAUGGCGAAGUUUAGAAAGUUAUAUUUAUUGUGUUUUGGUUAUAUGCAAAUACACAGUUUAUGAAAUUAAAUACAUAUUUUAAC